rnacentral:rRNA from 1 species
ACUGAAUCCAUAGGUUAAUGAGGCGAACCGGGGGAACUGAAACAUCUAAGUACCCCGAGGAAAAGAAAUCAACCGAGAUUCCCCCAGUAGCGGCGAGCGAACGGGGAGCAGCCCAGAGCCUGAAUCAGUGUGUGUGUUAGUGGAAGCGUCUGGAAAGGCGCGCGAUACAGGGUGACAGCCCCGUACACAAAAAUGCACAUGCUGUGAGCUCGAUGAGUAGGGCGGGACACGUGGUAUCCUGUCUGAAUAUGGGGGGACCAUCCUCCAAGGCUAAAUACUCCUGACUGACCGAUAGUGAACCAGUACCGUGAGGGAAAGGCGAAAAGAACCCCGGCGAGGGGAGUGAAAAAGAACCUGAAACCGUGUACGUACAAGCAGUGGGAGCACGCUUAGGCGUGUGACUGCGUACCUUUUGUAUAAUGGGUCAGCGACUUAUAUUCUGUAGCAAGGUUAACCGAAUAGGGGAGCCGAAGGGAAACCGAGUCUUAACUGGGCGUUAAGUUGCAGGGUAUAGACCCGAAACCCGGUGAUCUAGCCAUGGGCAGGUUGAAGGUUGGGUAACACUAACUGGAGGACCGAACCGACUAAUGUUGAAAAAUUAGCGGAUGACUUGUGGCUGGGGGUGAAAGGCCAAUCAAACCGGGAGAUAGCUGGUUCUCCCCGAAAGCUAUUUAGGUAGCGCCUCGUGAAUUCAUCUCCGGGGGUAGAGCACUGUUUCGGCAAGGGGGUCAUCCCGACUUACCAACCCGAUGCAAACUGCGAAUACCGGAGAAUGUUAUCACGGGAGACACACGGCGGGUGCUAACGUCCGUCGUGAAGAGGGAAACAACCCAGACCGCCAGCUAAGGUCCCAAAGUCAUGGUUAAGUGGGAAACGAUGUGGGAAGGCCCAGACAGCCAGGAUGUUGGCUUAGAAGCAGCCAUCAUUUAAAGAAAGCGUAAUAGCUCACUGGUCGAGUCGGCCUGCGCGGAAGAUGUAACGGGGCUAAACCAUGCACCGAAGCUGCGGCAGCGACGCUUAUGCGUUGUUGGGUAGGGGAGCGUUCUGUAAGCCUGUGAAGGUGUGCUGUGAGGCAUGCUGGAGGUAUCAGAAGUGCGAAUGCUGACAUAAGUAACGAUAAAGCGGGUGAAAAGCCCGCUCGCCGGAAGACCAAGGGUUCCUGUCCAACGUUAAUCGGGGCAGGGUGAGUCGACCCCUAAGGCGAGGCCGAAAGGCGUAGUCGAUGGGAAACAGGUUAAUAUUCCUGUACUUGGUGUUACUGCGAAGGGGGGACGGAGAAGGCUAUGUUGGCCGGGCGACGGUUGUCCCGGUUUAAGCGUGUAGGCUGGUUUUCCAGGCAAAUCCGGAAAAUCAAGGCUGAGGCGUGAUGACGAGGCACUACGGUGCUGAAGCAACAAAUGCCCUGCUUCCAGGAAAAGCCUCUAAGCAUCAGGUAACAUCAAAUCGUACCCCAAACCGACACAGGUGGUCAGGUAGAGAAUACCAAGGCGCUUGAGAGAACUCGGGUGAAGGAACUAGGCAAAAUGGUGCCGUAACUUCGGGAGAAGGCACGCUGAUAUGUAGGUGAAGUCCCUCGCGGAUGGAGCUGAAAUCAGUCGAAGAUACCAGCUGGCUGCAACUGUUUAUUAAAAACACAGCACUGUGCAAACACGAAAGUGGACGUAUACGGUGUGACGCCUGCCCGGUGCCGGAAGGUUAAUUGAUGGGGUCAGCGCAAGCGAAGCUCUUGAUCGAAGCCCCGGUAAACGGCGGCCGUAACUAUAACGGUCCUAAGGUAGCGAAAUUCCUUGUCGGGUAAGUUCCGACCUGCACGAAUGGCGUAAUGAUGGCCAGGCUGUCUCCACCCGAGACUCAGUGAAAUUGAACUCGCUGUGAAGAUGCAGUGUACCCGCGGCAAGACGGAAAGACCCCGUGAACCUUUACUAUAGCUUGACACUGAACAUUGAGCCUUGAUGUGUAGGAUAGGUGGGAGGCUUAGAAGUGUGGACGCCAGUCUGCAUGGAGCCGACCUUGAAAUACCACCCUUUAAUGUUUGAUGUUCUAACGUUGACCCGUAAUCCGGGUUGCGGACAGUGUCUGGUGGGUAGUUUGACUGGGGCGGUCUCCUCCUAAAGAGUAACGGAGGAGCACGAAGGUUGGCUAAUCCUGGUCGGACAUCAGGAGGUUAGUGCAAUGGCAUAAGCCAGCUUGACUGCGAGCGUGACGGCGCGAGCAGGUGCGAAAGCAGGUCAUAGUGAUCCGGUGGUUCUGAAUGGAAGGGCCAUCGCUCAACGGAUAAAAGGUACUCCGGGGAUAACAGGCUGAUACCGCCCAAGAGUUCAUAUCGACGGCGGUGUUUGGCACCUCGAUGUCGGCUCAUCACAUCCUGGGGCUGAAGUAGGUCCCAAGGGUAUGGCUGUUCGCCAUUUAAAGUGGUACGCGAGCUGGGUUUAGAACGUCGUGAGACAGUUCGGUCCCUAUCUGCCGUGGGCGCUGGAGAACUGAGGGGGGCUGCUCCUAGUACGAGAGGACCGGAGUGGACGCAUCACUGGUGUUCGGGUUGUCAUGCCAAUGGCACUGCCCGGUAGCUAAAUGCGGAAGAGAUAAGUGCUGAAAGCAUCUAAGCACGAAACUUGCCCCGAGAUGAGUUCUCCCUGACUCCUUGA